rnacentral:rRNA from 1 species
CAGUAGCCGCGGUAAUACGUAGGGUGCGAGCGUUAAUCGGAAUUACUGGGCGUAAAGCGGGCGCAGACGGUUACUUAAGCAGGAUGUGAAAUCCCCGGGCUCAACCUGGGAAUUGCGUUCUGAACUGGGUGGCUAGAGUGUGCCAGAGGGGGGUAGAAUUCCACGUGUAGCAGUGAAAUGCGUAAAGAUGUGGAGGAAUACCGACGGCGAAGGCAGCCCCCUGGGAUAGCACUGACGUUCAUGCCCGAAAGCGUGGGUAGCAAACAGGAUUAGAUACCCCAGUAGUCCCUGUCUCUUAUAC